CGCAAUAUAAUAAUUUUUUGCGAUAAUAAUGGAUACAACAAUCGAGGAGGGGGAAGAUCCCAAAAACUUCUCUCUUUAGUUUUCUCCCUCACUCAAGUCUGAUCUAGAAUUUCUUUUUUGGUGGUUGGUGACACCUCGAGUCUCCAGUCACCACCCCUCUGUCUCCUUUGCUUUGGUUACAACCUCCCACCUUUUUUCUCUCUUCCCUAGCCUUUUUCCUAUAUGCUCUCUACUCUGAUUUUCUUCCGGUAAAUUCUCUCUAGUGGACCAAAAAUGGGUGUUGUAGGUGUAUGUGUCCUCUUUGGAGUAACGGUGAGGAAACAUUUUGGGGUUUUGUCAAAGGGUUCCGGUGGAGUUUGUUCUUUGGUGGGUUGAGAGACCAGGGUCGAAGGUACAUGGGCAAACGGUGGGGCAAUUGUCCACCGUGACUUUUAAAAUUUCAAUAUUCGCCACUGGUUGAGACAGAUCUGUGUUAGAUCUGGGUCUUAAAGAGUCGGCGGUGGUUAGGAGCGUCGCUACCUCUUACAUGUCUCCGAUUUUCCUUGUUCCUUCUCUCCUCUGCUUAUUUCCCUUUCGGUAUUUGUCAGAACUUCUCCUCGCUUGGUGGGUAUGGCGGUGUCAGAGGUCGCCGCCGAUGACCUCAGUCUAGUAUCUCGACGUCAAUUUAUCUCGGAGGCUCCAUCUGCAGUGUUGCUUCUUGCUACUUCUCGGUAUCUCUCGGGCUUUGAGGACAAGUCCUUUCAAACUCAACGUAAUCCUUUGGGAUACAUAAUCACAGAGAUAUAGAAAACAAGGAUAUAGUUGUGGCAUACACUUGGCUUCCAUUACAUUCCAAGAAGAUUUUCCAAUAACGCAUAUAGUUUCUUGGAGUUUUCAUUUGAAAUCUGCAAACUUCUUUGAGCGCAAGCCAAUACUUACGGCCGCUCCGAACUUCAAACAUGAUCUUCCGCUUUGUGAAGCUAAAUAUUUAUCUGCUUGGGAUGAGUGAUGCACGGAAUAAACUCUUAGACCUUCCGUCCAUACAUUCGUGAUGCUCUAAUUAGUCAAAAUAAUGUUUAUUAUGGGAUUUAAAGUUGUAAUCAAACAUAUGUACACGCAAAUGCAAAUAUACAUAAACAUGUUAUGUACAAAUAUAAUAACUCUUUGGAAAACAAGAUAGAAUUUCAUUGCU